UACGUAGGUGGCAAGCGUUGUCCGGAAUUAUUGGGCGUAAAGCGCGCGCAGGUGGUUUCUUAAGUCUGAUGUGAAAGCCCACGGCUCAACCGUGGAGGGUCAUUGGAAACUGGGGAACUUGAGUGCAGGAGAGAAGAGUGGAAUUCCACGUGUAGCGGUGAAAUGCGUAGAGAUGUGGAGGAACACCAGUGGCGAAGGCGGCUACCUGGACAGAAACUGACGCUGAGGCGCGAAAGCUAGGGGAGCAAACAGG
rnacentral:rRNA from 1 species